GAUGAACGCUGGCGGCGUGCCUAAUACAUGCAAGUCGAGCGAACGGACGAGAAGCUUGCUUCUCUGAUGUUAGCGGCGGACGGGUGAGUAACACGUGGAUAACCUACCUAUAAGACUGGGAUAACUUCGGGAAACCGUAGCUAAUACCGGAUAAUAUUUUGAACCGCAUGGUUCAAAAGUGAAAGCCGGUCUUGCUGUCACUUAUAGAUGGAUCCGCGCUGCAUUAGCUAGUUGGUAAGGUAACGGCUUACCAAGGCAACGAUGCAUAGCCGAUCUGAGAGGGUGAUCGGCCACACUGGAACUGAGACACGGUCCAGACUCCUACGGGAGGCAGCAGUAGGGAAUCUUCAGCAAUGGGCGAAAGCCUGACGGAGCAACGCCGCGUGAGUGAUGAAGGUCUUCGGAUCGUAAAACUCUGUUAUUAGGGAAGAACAUAUGUGUAAGUAACUGUGCACAUCUUGACGGUACCUAAUCAGAAAGCUACGGCUAACUACGUG
rnacentral:rRNA from 1 species